CCAAACUCAUUUUAUGAGGCCAGCAUCACCUUGAUCCCAAAACCAGACAAGGAUCCCAUCAAAAAAGAAAGCUAUAGACCAAUAUCCUUGAUGAACAAGAUGC